UGGGAAUGUGAAUUCCUCUGGUAGAGAGGGCGCUGCUUGUGCCGGCUGCUUCUUAGCCAGGGCCUGGAGAAGGAGGGUGUGCUGGCGCACUUGCGCCUUUAUCUCCUCCAAGGCCCUGAAAAUUAGCUGGUCACGCUCUAUAGGCUGUGAGUAGGAGGUAGUGGGAGCACUCAAGACUGAUGAGAACACCGGUGGUGGCUGGAGUACAGGCUGGAGUACAGGUAGCUGUUUGGAGGAGCCUGGUUUCGCAGGUGGUUUCACUGGUUGUUUUGCUGGUUGCUGGUUUGCGAUGGAAUGGCGUGGCUGAGGUAGAGCUUCAGACUGCUCCACCACUUUGGCAGAGGGCCUGCAGUAUGACAACAGGACAACACCACAGAAGUGAGGGAGUCUUUCUUGGUGGCACUCACCAGUUUCUUCCUGGCCGCUUCAUAAGAAUCUGUAUUUGAGGAGGGUCUCACCAUAUUUCUUCAGUACCCUGACAAAGAACUCCCCCCAUGUCUCAUCAGGAUCCUCCUGAUUCUGGACAGCCACCUUACCCCGUUGCAUACUUUUGUAUGGUGGCCAGAAUGACACUUUUUGGUCGACACUCGACACUUUGUGGGCACCACUUCAACCUCAUUCUUUUCCGUAAACAGUACAAUUGCGAACAUGAUCUGUAAAUUGAAAUGAUGAACAGAUGAACUUAGCUUUAACUAACUAACUUAUUUAUUUAUUACUAACUAACUAACUUACUUUAUUUAUUUAUUUAUUUAUUACUAACUAACUUAUUUAUUUAUUUAUUAUGUAUGGUUCAGUCGGUAUAUUGCAAAGCCAUGUUUGACAGGCAUUGCAACCAUUUUGGCAUCAAUGGUUUUCUCUGACAAAGCCACCACCUCUACAGAUAGUCCUUGAACAAAAGCAAUAUUCAAAUUGAGGGAGUCAACUGGGGAUGUGAAAAACGACUGUCUGUUUAAAAAUUUCCGUCCCAAAAACUGUGUGCAGCCAUCAGCACUGAACAUUUUUUCAAUUCUGAAUAUGCUGUGCCCACUCAAAACUAUGUUGUUAGGCGCAUGGACUGAUAAAGAGAAUUUGGGACAGGUGUAGUGAGAGAGUAGACUGUGCAACACUGGACUGACAUUGACUGACUGACUGACACUGCUGUUUAGUUUUUGUUCAGCGAUGCGUUUUACAAUUUGUUGCAAAGGUUGGUUUGGCUUUCUGAUCUUUCUUUUCAGUUGAUGCAGAAAGUUUUCGAAAGGAAAGGCAGAAAUUCUCUGCAAGGGGCCAAAUUUUCUGACAUCGUCUGCCAGGUGGAUUAAGCUAUGGACAUUGUACACAAUGAAAUCGCCAUAAAUCACAGAGAAGUUUUGGACAAAGACUCUGAUCACCUUCUCGGUGUAAUCACAGUAUGUUUUUGACAGCUGUGGGCUGCAUAGAAUGGUUAUGCCCACAUGCAGAAGGAGGAAGUGAUCGUACAUAACAUCAGGCAGUUCGUUUUUGAGAGCAAUGGGACCCGUAUACAAGAAAUGUCCGAAAUUCAGUUGCUUUCCAACGGUCCACCUCUGUUAGGGAUCUCCCUCUUCUAUUGAACUCUUUUGGCAAGCUUUUUCCAAGUUCCACUAUUUUUUGUGAUAUUGAUGUUCUUGUUCGGUUGCCAAUUCUUGUGGGUAGUGGGCCUCGCAUCCACAACCAAAUGAGCUUUCUCACUACUCCCAAACACACUAAGUGCAUGUAAUCGAGCCCAAAUUGGGAGACCAUGCCAAUGUUGAUGUCAGUGAGGGGACUUUCAUCAUCCUUGGUGAUCACUUUGUAAUUUGGCCUUAAAGCUCUCGUCUGUACGUGGUGCCGCCAUUGUCUCAGGGAAGUUUAAUCUGUUAUUGCACCAAACACCCUCCUGAACACACCUCUCACAGCCGUAAUACAAAUUAUGAUAUUUUAUGUUUUUGAGGAAUGCUCUUGCUGGUGCAUCGCAUACAAAGGCCGAAAUUACUAUUUUGUGAUUUUGUUGGUACAUAACACCACUUGAGGAGAUGACUGACAUCUCCUCCACAAAAUCGGAGAGAUACUCUGCCAAAUUUGAUGGUUUUUUAAACGCAAAGUAUAAUGCCACAACGAAGGGAAUUUGGUCUGGGUAUUCUUCAAUUAAUGCCAAUAUUGGCCAGAAUUGAUUAUUGCUACUUUUAAAAAGUGGCAUGCCAUCAAUAUUGAUUUGCAGGUGGAGUGUAUGAGCGAUUGUUAGGGUGGGACUUUCCUGCAUCCUCGCCAAUACACCUUUAGCUAUUCCAAAAUAGUGCAUGGAGCCCCCUGCUUUUUCUUCCACCUCUAUGCUUUUAGGAGUGGACAAAAGUGUCUGACCAUCUUUUGGGAGAUCUGCAUCGGACAGGUGUUUGUUAAGGACAGCAAGAAGACUUGAAAGAUGGCUGAUUGACCACAGGUGGCGCUUAUGUCCUCUAAACUAGAGCUAGUACUAACGUUACACCAGUCUCCUCCAUCACAGUUGUCUAACGUUACUUCCGUCCCUGACAUGUAGGAGUCGGAGCCAUGGUCGGAGCAGUCGGAGUCGUGAGUAACGCUAACUUUUUCCACAUUAAGUGAUUGUAGCAUAGAGACAAUGGCCUCUGUAUUUUUUUUUGUAUGCCGUCUUAAAGACCUUUUUGAUAGCAAUUUGUUGCUCUCUGCCAUAAUUGUGACAGACAAUAGCGUAAAGUUUACUAGAUAACUGUUAGCAUCAAACAAGCUAUCAGCUAGCGAUAUAGCUAACGUUAACGUAACCGUUUUCAGCUAACUUUAGCGAGCGAAUCCGACUAACGCUAAUUUACACAGUUAUCGUUCUUGGUUUAUGGUGUUGCGGUCUUGAAAGUGACCUUAUAACCACUACUUUACCUGAAUGUUGACCAAAACACCACAGUGUCUAAUGUUAGACCAAAGUCUGUCGUUGGCGAUCCCAGGUGAAUUAAAAAUCAGUUGAUUUCAGUUAACUUUUAUUCAUACGCGCGCAGGUGUGUGUGUUACAUCAUAAGCACGAGAGCAACCUAUAUGUAUUUUAACCUGUAAUGUGUAGUGUAGCCUACAGUUUUUUUUCUCCUACUGCCUCUCUCUCUCUCUCUGUGUGUGUGUGCUUUCAGACUCUGGAAAAAUGUACUUAUGAGGGCUUUAUUUCCUUGAAGUAGCAUCUGUUUCCUGUUACCAGCGCAACACAACACAGAGACUGUUUUUCUGCCGUGUAUUCAGGGCACAGGCAGCUAGCGGAUAGUGAGGCGAUGUUUGCUGUAUGUGACAAAGAUGUUUUAGCUUAGAAACUGCGUGACAUGUCAACAACGUUUGUAUUUACUUGUCACAGCCUGGCAUACUGUGUUCAUUAUUCCAUACAUCUGAUGUGUAGGCUAACUGCUGAAAUAUGAUGUCCGACAAGGGACCGGGGCUAUAGGCUACAGUCAGGGCUACCCUGCUGAAAAAAACAGCCUGACCAGCUUAAGGUGGUUUGCUGGUUGACCAGCUUGUUUGACCACCCUAUGAUGGUUGACCUGCUAGACCAGCAAAACUCAUGCGACAACAUAGCUUCGGCUGGUUUACCCAGCUUGCGAUGGUAAUUCAGCUGGUUUUGCUUGUCGUAUCAUCUCAAGUCAUUUUAGCUGGUGUUGCCGGUCUACAUUGCUGAUUUAUCUGGCCAUGCCAGGUUAUGUUGGUCAUUCUAGUAAACCAGUAUGACCGUCUUACACACACAGUAUGCACUUACAUAAUUGCAAAACUGUUCUCUACUGAUAUUUAAUGCAAUAUCUACAUUGCCCAUUAUCAGCAACCAUUUAUUCAAUGUUCUAAAGGCACACUCUGUUUACAAAUCUAAUAUCAUUUCUCUGUUUCAGAAGCAUCCAUUUCCUGUUGUUACCAGCGCCAUGCCAUGUGCUCUCUGCAGCUCAGAAUGAGAUUGGCUGGGACUUAAUGGCACGCUACUGGGAAAGUGAUCACUCACUCAUGAGUGAAAUAGUGAUUUCGUAUACUGUGAAAUGCCAGUAUUAAAUAAAUGAUGGGUUUGUAAA